CACGUGCUACAAUGGCAUAUACAGUGAGACGCAAUACCGCGAGGUGGAGCAAAUCUAUAAAAUAUGUCCCAGUUCGGAUUGUUCUCUGCAACUCGAGAGCAUGAAGCCA
rnacentral:rRNA from 1 species